CUGCUUGCAGGGUACUCGAGUGGCGAACGGGUGAGUAACACGUGGGUGAUCUGCCCUGCACUUCGGGAUAAGCUUGGGAAACUGGGUCUAAUACCGGAUAGGAACCAUCUUUAGUGUGGUGGUUGGAAAGUUUUUUCGGUGUAGGAUGAGCUCGCGGCCUAUCAGCUUGUUGGUGGGGUAAUGGCCUACCAAGGCGGCGACGGGUAGCCGGCCUGAGAGGGUGUACGGCCACAUUGGGACUGAGAUACGGCCCAGACUCCUACGGGAGGCAGCAGUGGGGAAUAUUGCACAAUGGGCGCAAGCCUGAUGCAGCGACGCCGCGUGGGGGAUGAAGGCCUUCGGGUUGUAAACUCCUUUCGCUAGGGACGAAGCUUUKUGUGACGGUACCUAGAUAAGAAGCACCGGCUA
rnacentral:rRNA from 1 species